UGGGGGAUAUUGCACAAUGGAGGAAACUCUGAUGCAGCAACGCCGCGUGAGGGAAGAAGGUCUUCGGAUUGUAAACCUAAGUUGUCAGGGACGAACAAAUGACGGUACCUGAAAAGAAAGCUCCGGCUAACUACGUGCCAGCAGCCGCGGUAAUACGUAGGGAGCGAGCGUUGUCCGGAUUUACUGGGUGUAAAGGGUGCGUAGGCGGGUUUGCAAGUCAGACGUGAAAUACCGAAGCUUAACUUCGGGGCUGCGUUUGAAACUGUAGAUCUUGAGUGAAGUAGAGGUAAGCGGAAUUCCUAGUGUAGCGGUGAAAUGCGUAGAUAUUAGGAGGAACACCAGUGGCGAAGGCGGCUUACUGGGCUUUAACUGACGCUGAGGCACGAAAGCAUGGGGAGCAAACAGG
rnacentral:rRNA from 2 species